UACAGAGGUCUCAAGCGUUGUUCGGAUUCAUUGGGCGUAAAGGGUGCGUAGGCGGUUCAGUAAGUCUGCUGUGAAAGUCCAGGGCUCAACCCUGGGAUGCCGGUGGAUACUGCUGGGCUAGAGUACGGAAGAGGCGAGUGGAAUUCCCGGUGUAGCGGUGAAAUGCGCAGAUAUCGGGAGGAACACCUAUUGCGAAGGCAGCUCGCUGGGACGUCACUGACGCUGAGACGCGAAAGCGUGGGGAGCAAACAGG
rnacentral:rRNA from 1 species